AUUAAAUAAGAAGCAAAAAAUUUGCAUUUAGUUUCGACCUAAAAUUUUGAUAUUUUAUAUCCUUAUUUUU
rnacentral:tRNA from 1 species